rnacentral:lncRNA from 1 species
GUACAUAUAUAUAUAUAUAUAUAUAUAUAUAUAUAUAUAUAUAGCACAGGUUUUGUCAAUAAAAAAGAAAAUGGAUUCAAGUAGAGUUUUCCGGAACGUAUCAAUAAGCUAGACCCAUACUGCGAGUUGUUUCAUGCCAUAAAUAAACUCGAACACUCAAGAAAUCCAUUGGGCAGGCGGAUUCACAUCUCUUACAGCCAAUACAGUUAUCGGUCCUUAGGGCAGAAGCAACUUGUUUAGCUUUACAUCCGUCCCAAGGUAUCAUUUCUAAUACAUCGGUAGGACACGCUCGGACACAUUGAGUACAUCCUAUAUAUGUAUCAUAAAUCUUUACUGAAUGUGACAUUGGAUCUAUACAUUUUUUUAUAAUAAAUUUUCGAUCUAGUAAACUUAUAAAUGAAUCAUAUAUUUAGAUACCAGACGAAUCAAUGAGUGAUCAGAAUCAAUCUACUUGCGGAUUGGUUUAUGAGAGAGGGCCAAAAUACUUUGAUUUCUUAUGUUUUUGCAACCACGAUCAUACCUUACACAUAGCAAACCUGCUAAUUCGAAUUAAUUUCAAAAUGAUUUUUGAAUAUUCGAAUUUCUAUUUAUAUAAUUAAUACUAUUUAUUCAACAAAUUGGAUUGGUUAAAACGAGUUGAUUUUCUGUUACAAUAAAUUGAUGAAACAAUAGCCGGUCCAAUAGCCGUUUCAACGGCUACAAUAACUAUAACAAAAAUGGAGAAAAUAUCUCAUCUUAAUUGAUGAUUAUAAAAAAAAACCAGAAAAUGUUACAAAAUUUAUAUUAACUAAAUUUAAUAUAAGUUCAAGACACAUAAGGACUCUAACCAUAUUUCGACUUGUGAUCAAUUCGGAGCUACCGACACGUAAAUAAAUAGUCACUCAAAACAAGUACAUGUG